GGGGCUGACUUUUAAGCUUGACGUUGGACUUUAUCGGUUAAAUCAGCAGGUCGCUUGCCAGCGUUAUAGGCAAUUUGAAUUAGAUGCAAACUCUACUUCUCGCUCUGACCUGAUCAAGGAAUUGGCUGCAAAGCUCAACCCUGUUCAGCAAUUUGCAACAGUCUAAGUUUAACUUAGACAAUGCCUCCAAGAUUUCAGGUAUUGGAGUAGCGUUUUAUACAUCUGGAUGCCCGGUUAGCGCUAUCCACGUUCGCCGUUAAGAUUAGGAUUGCUGCUAUCAGAUGUUUGUUUGUUUAAAUACUGAUAGCCUAAGACCAAAAAACAAACUAAGCCUGUAGACGACUAACCAAGAUAAACCGAUGGACGCGGGGGCGGUACCCGCCAGCUCCUCCA
rnacentral:tmRNA from 1 species